AAUCUAUAGGGGAGAAGACUUAGAAUAACAUAAAUGUAGGGGCAGCACAACCAAGGGGAAAAGGCUAACGAUAGCACUGACUCUAAGCGAAAGACAUGAGGCCUAAGACUGACAAUGAGGUUGUUUUGAGGCCAUCUGAUUUCUGACUAGAAGGUGUGUGCGAUCGCCUCGUCCUGAAACCACUUCAAACAGAAUGGUUUGCAAUUUUUUUUGGUGAUGGCAUGUUCAGAAUCUUGGAUCCCUAAGUUGAAUAUGUUGGAAAUAUUUUAGGAACUCUGGAUAUUGUUGUUUUUGUAUAUAUAAUGACUUAAUAGGUGAAUCAGUAGGUUUAAUAAAAAGUAUAUA